rnacentral:rRNA from 1 species
CCUACGGGGGGCAGCAGUAGGGAAUAUUGCUCAAUGGGGGAAACCCUGAAGCAGCAACGCCGCGUGGAGGAUGAAGGUUUUCGGAUUGUAAACUCCUUUUGUUAGAGAAGAUAAUGACGGUAUCUAACGAAUAAGCACCGGCUAACUCCGUGCCAGCAGCCGCGAUAAUACGGAGGGUGCAAGCGUUACUCGGAAUCACUGGGCGUAAAGCGCGCGUAGGCGGGAUAGCAAGUCAGAUGUGAAAUCCUAUGGCUUAACCAUAGAACUGCAUUUGAAACUGUUAUUCUAGAGUAUGGGAGAGGUAGGUGGAAUUCUUGGUGUAGGGGUAAAAUCCGUAGAGAUCAAGAGGAAUACUCAUUGCGAAGGCGACCUGCUAGAACAUAACUGACGCUGAUGCGCGAAAGCGUGGGGAGCAAACAGGAUUAGAUACCCCAGUAGUC